UGGGGAAUAUUGGACAAUGGGCGCAAGCCUGAUCCAGCCAUGCCGCGUGAGUGAUGAAGGCCCUAGGGUUGUAAAGCUCUUUUGUGCGGGAAGAUAAUGACGGUACCGCAAGAAUAAGCCCCGGCUAACUUCGUGCCAGCAGCCGCGGUAAUACGAAGGGGGCUAGCGUUGCUCGGAAUCACUGGGCGUAAAGGGUGCGUAGGCGGGUCUUUAAGUCAGGGGUGAAAUCCUGGAGCUCAACUCCAGAACUGCCUUUGAUACUGAGGAUCUUGAGUUCGGGAGAGGUGAGUGGAACUGCGAGUGUAGAGGUGAAAUUCGUAGAUAUUCGCAAGAACACCAGUGGCGAAGGCGGCUCACUGGCCCGGUACUGACGCUGAGGUGCGAGAGCGUGGGGAGCAAACA
rnacentral:rRNA from 1 species